UACGGAGGGUGCAAGCGUUAAUCGGAAUCACUGGGCGUAAAGCGCGCGUAGGCGGCUUGGUAAGUCAGAUGUGAAAGCCCCGGGCUCAACCUGGGAAUUGCAUUUGAUACUGCCAAACUAGAGUGUAGUAGAGGGAAGUGGAAUUCCGAGUGUAGCGGUGAAAUGCGUAGAUAUUCGGAGGAACAUCAGUGGCGAAGGCGACUUCCUGGACUAACACUGACGCUGAGGUGCGAAAGCGUGGGUAGCAAACAGG
rnacentral:rRNA from 1 species